rnacentral:rRNA from 1 species
UACAGGGGUCCCAAGCGUUGUUCGGAUUCAUUGGGCGUAAAGGGUGCGUAGGCGGCGCGGUAAGUCGGGUGUGAAAUCUUGGAGCUUAACUCCGAAACUGCAUUCGAUACUGCCGUGCUUGAGGACUGGAGAGGAGACUGGAAUUUACGGUGUAGCGGUGAAAUGCGUAGAUAUCGUAAGGAAGACCAGUGGCGGAGGCGGGUCUCUGGACAGUUCCUGACGCUGAGGCACGAAGGCCAGGGGAGCAAACGGG